ACUGUCCCUGUCUACUAUC
rnacentral:ncRNA from 2 species